GGCCGUGUAGUUUAAGUUAAGACGUUAGGCUGCAAUCUUAAAGAUGUAUACUACCUCGGCUU
rnacentral:tRNA from 1 species